CGACCUAAUCCCAAUUGUUAUUACAUAUAAAAGUAUCCAAGGGUUUUCUAAUAUCUUCUUCUAUCUUCUCCGCCGAAAACUCUAUUUCUUCUGCUGAGAAAUGUUGGCCUUCACUGUGUUCAACUUGUUCUUAAUGUACUUGUUCUAUUUCCUCUGCUGAGAAAUGUUGGCCUUCACUGUGUUCAACUUGUUCUUAAUGUACUUGUUGUGGAUUAUGAAUAGAGUACUAUGGAUUGAAGCUGCUACUUUGUAUAUCAACUCCCAAAAUUGUGUUUUCCGGUGGAUGGGACGAUGCUCUUGUUUUUGUGAUGUGUUGAGGGUCUCAAGUUCCUGGAUGGAAUUCCAGAUCUAAUUGCUACAGGCAUGGAGAUAGUGGAAUGCUCAGACCCAUAAGUAAUUGGACUGUAGUGCUCUAUCCAGGUGUUUCUGCCACUAUCUCACGUGACUCUUCCCUUUUGCUGCGAGUCCUUUUUGAUGGCUGACAUAGAUUAGGCUAGGAAACUUGUUUUCUCUUUUUGUUAGUUUCCUCAUUGUAAAUAUAUGCUUGUGUAUGAUCUACUCUGGACAAUGUGGCCUACUCAGCCUAUUUAUUCUCUUGUUGCUCGCACUCUUAUGUAUGGACAUUGUCACUUAUCACUGUUAAGGAUUUUUCUACCACUUA